GACGAACGCUGGCGGCGUGCUUAACACAUGCAAGUCGAACGGAAAGGCCCUGCUUUUGUGUUGUGCUCGAGUGGCGAACGGGUGAGUAACACGUGAGUAACCUGCCCUUGACUUUGGGAUAACUUCAGGAAACUGGGGCUAAUACCGGAUAGGAGCUCCUGCUGCAUGGUGGGGGUUGGAAAGUUUCGGCGGUUGGGGAUGGACUCGCGGCUUAUCAGCUUGUUGGUGGGGUAGUGGCUUACCAAGGCUUUGACGGGUAGCCGGCCUGAGAGGGUGACCGGCGACAUUGGGACUGCGAUACGGACCAGACGCCUACGGGAGGCAGCAGUGGGGAAUAUUGCACAAUGGGCGGAAGCCUGAUGCAGCAACGCCGCGUGCGGGAUGCCGGCCUUCGGGUUGUAAACCGCUUUCGCCUGUGACGAAGCGUGAGUGACGGUAAUGGGUAAAGAAGCACCGGCUAACUACGUG
rnacentral:rRNA from 1 species